rnacentral:rRNA from 1 species
UUAAGCGACUAAGCGUACACGGUGGAUGCCCUGGCAGUCAGAGGCGAUGAAGGACGUGCUAAUCUGCGAUAAGCGUCGGUGAGGUGAUAUGAACCGUUAUAACCGGCGAUUUCCGAAUGGGGAAACCCAGUGUGUUUCGACACACUAUCAUUAACUGAAUCCAUAGGUUAAUGAGGCGAACCGGGGGAACUGAAACAUCUAAGUACCCCGAGGAAAAGAAAUCAACCGAGAUUCCCCCAGUAGCGGCGAGCGAACGGGGAGGAGCCCAGAGCCUGAAUCAGUGUGUGUGUUAGUGGAAGCGUCUGGAAAGGCGCGCGAUACAGGGUGACAGCCCCGUACACAAAAAUGCACAUAUUGUGAGCUCGAUGAGUAGGGCGGGACACGUGGUAUCCUGUCUGAAUAUGGGGGGACCAUCCUCCAAGGCUAAAUACUCCUGACUGACCGAUAGUGAACCAGUACCGUGAGGGAAAGGCGAAAAGAACCCCGGCGAGGGGAGUGAAAAAGAACCUGAAACCGUGUACGUACAAGCAGUGGGAGCCUCUUAAUGGGGUGACUGCGUACCUUUUGUAUAAUGGGUCAGCGACUUAUAUUCUGUAGCAAGGUUAACCGAAUAGGGGAGCCGAAGGGAAACCGAGUCUUAACUGGGCGUUAAGUUGCAGGGUAUAGACCCGAAACCCGGUGAUCUAGCCAUGGGCAGGUUGAAGGUUGGGUAACACUAACUGGAGGACCGAACCGACUAAUGUUGAAAAAUUAGCGGAUGACUUGUGGCUGGGGGUGAAAGGCCAAUCAAACCGGGAGAUAGCUGGUUCUCCCCGAAAGCUAUUUAGGUAGCGCCUCGUGAAUUCAUCUCCGGGGGUAGAGCACUGUUUCGGCAAGGGGGUCAUCCCGACUUACCAACCCGAUGCAAACUGCGAAUACCGGAGAAUGUUAUCACGGGAGACACACGGCGGGUGCUAACGUCCGUCGUGAAGAGGGAAACAACCCAGACCGCCAGCUAAGGUCCCAAAGUCAUGGUUAAGUGGGAAACGAUGUGGGAAGGCCCAGACAGCCAGGAUGUUGGCUUAGAAGCAGCCAUCAUUUAAAGAAAGCGUAAUAGCUCACUGGUCGAGUCGGCCUGCGCGGAAGAUGUAACGGGGCUAAACCAUGCACCGAAGCUGCGGCAGCGACACUAUGUGUUGUUGGGUAGGGGAGCGUUCUGUAAGCCUGUGAAGGUGGCCUGUGAGGGUUGCUGGAGGUAUCAGAAGUGCGAAUGCUGACAUAAGUAACGAUAAAGCGGGUGAAAAGCCCGCUCGCCGGAAGACCAAGGGUUCCUGUCCAACGUUAAUCGGGGCAGGGUGAGUCGACCCCUAAGGCGAGGCCGAAAGGCGUAGUCGAUGGGAAACAGGUUAAUAUUCCUGUACUUGGUGUUACUGCGAAGGGGGACGGAGAAGGCUAUGUUGGCCGGGCGACGGUUGUCCCGGUUUAAGCGUGUAGGCUGGUUUUCCAGGCAAAUCCGGAAAAUCAAGGCUGAGGCGUGAUGACGAGGCACUACGGUGCUGAAGCGACAAAUGCCCUGCUUCCAGGAAAAGCCUCUAAGCAUCAGGUAACAUCAAAUCGUACCCCAAACCGACACAGGUGGUCAGGUAGAGAAUACCAAGGCGCUUGAGAGAACUCGGGUGAAGGAACUAGGCAAAAUGGUGCCGUAACUUCGGGAGAAGGCACGCUGAUAUGUAGGUGAAGCGACUUGCUCGUGGAGCUGAAAUCAGUCGAAGAUACCAGCUGGCUGCAACUGUUUAUUAAAAACACAGCACUGUGCAAACACGAAAGUGGACGUAUACGGUGUGACGCCUGCCCGGUGCCGGAAGGUUAAUUGAUGGGGUUAGCGGUAACGCGAAGCUCUUGAUCGAAGCCCCGGUAAACGGCGGCCGUAACUAUAACGGUCCUAAGGUAGCGAAAUUCCUUGUCGGGUAAGUUCCGACCUGCACGAAUGGCGUAAUGAUGGCCAGGCUGUCUCCACCCGAGACUCAGUGAAAUUGAACUCGCUGUGAAGAUGCAGUGUACCCGCGGCAAGACGGAAAGACCCCGUGAACCUUUACUAUAGCUUGACACUGAACAUUGAGCCUUGAUGUGUAGGAUAGGUGGGAGGCUUUGAAGUGUGGACGCCAGUCUGCAUGGAGCCGACCUUGAAAUACCACCCUUUAAUGUUUGAUGUUCUAACGUGGGCCCCUUACCGGGGUUGCGGACAGUGUCUGGUGGGUAGUUUGACUGGGGCGGUCUCCUCCUAAAGAGUAACGGAGGAGCACGAAGGUUGGCUAAUCCUGGUCGGACAUCAGGAGGUUAGUGCAAUGGCAUAAGCCAGCUUGACUGCGAGCGUGACGGCGCGAGCAGGUGCGAAAGCAGGUCAUAGUGAUCCGGUGGUUCUGAAUGGAAGGGCCAUCGCUCAACGGAUAAAAGGUACUCCGGGGAUAACAGGCUGAUACCGCCCAAGAGUUCAUAUCGACGGCGGUGUUUGGCACCUCGAUGUCGGCUCAUCACAUCCUGGGGCUGAAGUAGGUCCCAAGGGUAUGGCUGUUCGCCAUUUAAAGUGGUACGCGAGCUGGGUUUAGAACGUCGUGAGACAGUUCGGUCCCUAUCUGCCGUGGGCGCUGGAGAACUGAGGGGGGCUGCUCCUAGUACGAGAGGACCGGAGUGGACGCAUCACUGGUGUUCGGGUUGUCAUGCCAAUGGCACUGCCCGGUAGCUAAAUGCGGAAGAGAUAAGUGCUGAAAGCAUCUAAGCACGAAACUUGCCCCGAGAUGAGUUCUCCCUGACUCCUUGAGAGUCCUGAAGGAACGUUGAAGACGACGACGUUGAUAGGCCGGGUGUGUAAGCGCAGCGAUGCGUUGAGCUAACCGGUACUAAUGAACCGUGAGGCUUAACCUU